AGAGAGAGAGAGAGAGAGAGAGAGAGAGAGAGAGAGAGAGAGAGAGAGAGAGAGAGAGAGAGAGAUCUAUACAGCAAGGUCUAACAAUAGGUACAUCCAGCCUGCCUGAAAGGAAGGAUGAACAUAACCUAACCUUACUCACCUACAUACCUAUGACAAAAUUAAUUCUUACUCAAAUGUUUUUGGGGAAAAUUCAUAAGUGGGCAACAAUUAAAUGACUGUCCAGGGAUGGGGAUUCCAACCCUGGCUGGCAGAUUCAUAGGUAGGCAUGCUAACCACUACACCAUGGAGCCAUAAGAAUUAGCCACACUAUACCAGGACAAAUAAUUCUUAGUGUGUGCCCUGGUAAGAUUCAAAUGUGCAGCCCUGGUAGUGAGUAAGUGUAUGGGGAUUGGUGAGUAAGUUUAUGGGCACAAGUAAGUUAUGGGCAUUGGUGAGUAAGUUUUGGGGGCAGGUGAGUAAUUUCAUGGGCUCAGGUGAAUAAGUUUAUGGGCAUUGGUAAGUAAGUUUAUGGGCACAAGUAAGUUAUGGGCAUUGGUGAGUAAGUUUUGGGGGCAGGUGAGUAAGUUCAUGGGCUCAGGUGAGUAAGUUUAUGGGCAUAAGUGAGUAAGUUUUGGGGGCAAGGUGAGUAAGUUUAUGGGCAUUGGUGAGUAAGUUUUGGGGGCAGGUGAGUAAGUUCAUGGGCUCAGGUGAGUAAGUUUAUGGGCAUUGGUGAGUAAGUUUAUGGGCACAAGUGAGUAAGUUAUGGAUAUAGGUGAGUAAGUUUUGGGGGCAAGGUGAGUAAGUUUGUUUGCACAAAUGAGUAAGUUAUGGGAGAGAGAGAGAGAGAGAGAGAGAGAGAGAGAGAGAGAGAGAGAGAGAGAGAGAGAGAGAGAGAGAGAGAGAUCUAUACAGCAAGGUCUAACAAUAGGUACAUCCAGCCUGCCUGAAAGGAAGGAUGAACAUAACCUAACCUUACUCACCUACAUACCUAUGAUAAAAUUAAUUCUUACUCAAAUGUUUUUGGGGAAAAUUCAUAAGUGGGCAACAAUUAAAUGACUGUCCAGGGAUGGGGAUUCCAACCCUGGCUGGCAGAUUCAUAGGUAGGCAUGCUAACCACUACACCACGGAGCCAUAAGAAUUCGCCACACUAUACCAGGACAAAUCAUUCUUAGUGUGUGCCCUGGUAAGAUUCAAAUGUGCAGCCCUGGUAGUGAGUAAGUGUAUGGGGAUUGGUGAGUAAGUUUAUGGGCACAAGUAAGUUAUGGGCAUUGGUGAGUAAGUUUUGGGGGCAGGUGAGUAAUUUCAUGGGCUCAGGUGAAUAAGUUUAUGGGCAUUGGUAAGUAAGUUUAUGGGCACAAGUAAGUUAUGGGCAUUGGUGAGUAAGUUUUGGGGGCAGGUGAGUAAGUUCAUGGGCUCAGGUGAGUAAGUUUAUGGGCAUAAGUGAGUAAGUUUUGGGGGCAAGGUGAGUAAGUUUAUGGGCAUUGGUGAGUAAGUUUUGGGGGCAGGUGAGUAAGUUCAUGGGCUCAGGUGAGUAAGUUUAUGGGCAUUGGUGAGUAAGUUUAUGGGCACAAGUGAGUAAGUUAUGGAUAUAGGUGAGUAAGUUUUGGGGGCAAGGUGAGUAAGUUUGUUUGCACAAAUGAGUAAGUUAUGGGAGAGAGAGAGAGAGAGAGAGAGAGAGAGAUCUAUACAGCAAGGUCUAACAAUAGGUACAUCCAGCCUGCCUGAAAGGAAGGAUGAACAUAACCUAACCUUACUCACCUACAUACCUAUGAUAAAAUUAAUUCUUACUCAAAUGUUUAGCACAUGAUCAGGCCGUGGUGAACACAUAUCACGAGUCUAGCACAUGAUCAGGCCGUGGUGAACACAUAUCACGAGUCCAGUACAUCAGGCCGUGGUGAACACAUAUCACGAGUCUAGCACAUGAUCAGGCCGUGGUGAACACAUAUCACGAGUCUAGCACAUGAUCAGGCCGUGGUGAUUACAUAUCACGAGUCUAGCACAUGAUCAGGCCGUGGUGAACACAUAUCACGAGUCCAGCACAUGAUCAGGCAGUGGCGAUUACAUAUCACGAGUUUAGCACAUGAUCAGGCCGUGGUGAACACAUAUCACGAGUCCAGCACAUGAUCGGGCCGUGGUGAACACAUAUCACGAGUCCAGCACAUGAUCAGGCCGUGGUGAACACAUAUCACGAGUCCAGCAAAUUAUCAGGCCGUGGUGAAUACAUCUCGAGUCCAGCACAUGAUCAGGCCGUGGUGAACUCAUACCACGAUUCUAGCACAUGAUCGGGCCAUGGUGAAUCCAUAUCACGAGUCUAGUACAUGAUCAGGCCUUGGUGAAUACAUAUCAUGAGUCUAGCACAUGAUCAGGCCGUGGUAAUUACGACGUUAACCCCCGCCCCUUUUAAUUAUCAGCACGCAAUUUACUGACCCUAUUUACCCCUUAUUCGCCACCGAACAUGACCU